rnacentral:piRNA from 1 species
UCCAAGAGGAAAUGACCAUACAUCGUUUG